GUUGCCUUGUUUUUGGUAGCAUUUUGCUUCUGUUUUCUUGAUUUUGGAAACAGAAAAAGAGAAAUUACUCCAAUUUUGCAUUUGGCUAAUCACCAAAGCCAGUUCUUGCCUCCAAUCUCUGGCGCAUGUUAGCAGAGGCCAGCUACUUUCUGUUAACAUGUGCUGGUUGGGCUGCGCAAGGCAGCUGGGGGAGCGUUACUUUACUGACUUUUGCGUGAUUGGCGUUUCUUUGAUUGGCGUUUCUUUGAUUGGCUACUUUUUUGUAUCAUCGGCGUACUUUAGAUCUGUUCAGCAUUGAUUUUCUUUCUAUCUAGUUCCUUUUUUCUCUGUUGUUUGUUGAGAUGUCACUCCCCUUUCUCGCGUGAACCAUAAGAAUCUUUCUCUGUGCUUCUUUUAACUCUAGUUGAUCUCAUAUAGAAUAUGGACCAGCUCUGUCACAGAUCUCUAUUAAAAGACCAAGAAAUCCUCAACAAAUAUCAAUAUAUGCCACUGGUUGGUAACAUGGGGAUAACGAUGGACAAGGGUAUUUCUCCCUUUAUUUGAUAGAUUUUGGUGGUUUUGCUUUAUUUAUUGCAAAAGUAAGAAAGACUUUUUCUUUUUUGGUUCAGAGUUUCUGCUCACAGCUCACUUCCCUGUUUGGGAGGUACUACCUCCAUCCACUUUUCACUUUUAUUUGUCACUGUUCAAAGUUAUUCUGUAUCUGUCACUUUGAGAAAAAA
rnacentral:misc_RNA from 1 species